UCGGGAGCGAAGCAAUUGGAAGUGGUUCCAAGAAAAGCCUCUAAGCUUCAGUCUAACGAUGACCGUACCGCAAACCGACACAGGUGGGCGAGAUGAGUAUUCUAAGGCGCUUGAGAGAACUCGGGAGAAGGAACUCGGCAAAUUGGUACCGUAACUUCGGGAUAAGGUACGCCCUUGUAGCUUGACUGGCCUGCGCCAGGAGGGUGAAGGGGUUGCAAUAAACUGGUGGCUGCGACUGUUUAAUAAAAACACAGCACUCUGCAAACACGAAAGUGGACGUAUAGGGUGUGACGCCUGCCCGGUGCCGGAAGAUUAAAUGAUGGGGUGCAAGCUCUUGAUUGAAGUCCCGGUAAACGGCGGCCGUAACUAUAACGGUCCUAAGGUAGCGAAAUUCCUUGUCGGGUAAGUUCCGACCUGCACGAAUGGCGUAACGAUGGCCACACUGUCUCCUCCCGAGACUCAGCGAAGUUGAAGUGUUUGUGAUGAUGCAAUCUACCCGCGGCUAGACGGAAAGACCCCAUGAACCUUUACUGUAGCUUUGCAUUGGACUUUGAACCGAUCUGUGUAGGAUAGGUGGGAGGCUAUGAAACCGGAACGCUAGUUUCGGUGGAGCCGUCCUUGAAAUACCACCCUGGUUUGUUUGAGGUUCUAACCUUGGCCCGUGAUCCGGGUCGGGGACAGUGCAUGGUAGGCAGUUUGACUGGGGCGGUCUCCUCCCAAAGCGUAACGGAGGAGUACGAAGGUACGCUAGGUACGGUCGGAAAUCGUGCUGAUAGUGCAAUGGCAUAAGCGUGCUUAACUGCGAGACCGACAAGUCGAGCAGGUGCGAAAGCAGGUCAUAGUGAUCCGGUGGUUCUGUAUGGAAGGGCCAUCGCUCAACGGAUAAAAGGUACUCUGGGGAUAACAGGCUGAUACCGCCCAAGAGUUCAUAUCGACGGCGGUGUUUGGCACCUCGAUGUCGGCUCAUCUCAUCCUGGGGCUGUAGCCGGUCCCAAGGGUAUGGCUGUUCGCCAUUUAAAGAGGUACGUGAGCUGGGUUUAAAACGUCGUGAGACAGUUUGGUCCCUAUCUGCCGUGGGCGUUGGAUAUUUGAAGGGGGCUGCUCCUAGUACGAGAGGACCGGAGUGGACGAACCUCUGGUGUACCGGUUGUCACGCCAGUGGCAUCGCCGGGUAGCUAUGUUCGGAAGAGAUAACCGCUGAAAGCAUCUAAGCGGGAAACUCGCCUUAAGAUGAGAUAUCCCUGGGGACUAGAUCCCCUUGAAGGGUCGUUCGAGACCAGGACGUUGAUAGGUCAGGUGUGUAAGCGCAGUAAUGCGUUCAGCUAACUGAUACUAAUUGCCCGUAAGGCUUGAUCCU
rnacentral:rRNA from 1 species